GUGGAGUGCUUCCUUCACUAUAAGUUGAGGUUGGCAUGCUAGUACCGUCAGCAAUUGGAGGAGAUGAACUGGCUUGAGAAUAAGUGGUCACAGGUGUGCUGGUGUCAACAGGAGUUGUUGAAAGGGUGCUGAUUGCAGAACUGGUCACCGGUGUGGUGCUGACAGGCACACCUGUUAAUGGAGUGCUUCCUUCACUAUAAGUUGAGAUUGGCAUGCUGGUACCUUCAGCAGGUGUAGGAGAUGAACUGACUUCAGUAGAAGUGAUCACAGGACUGUUGGAGUCAACAGGAGUUGUUGAAAGGGUGCUAGCCUCAGGACUGGCCACCGG
rnacentral:lncRNA from 1 species